rnacentral:rRNA from 1 species
GCGUGCUUAACACAUGCAAGUCGAACGGAGAUAGGAAGAGCUUGCUCGUUCCGAAUCUUUAGUGGCGGACGGGUGAGUAACGCGUGAGCAACCUGCCUUUCAGGAGGGGGACAACGGUUUAGGAAACGAACGACUAAUACCGCAUAAGAUCGUAGGCCACAUGGUCCAGCGACCAAAGGAGACAAUCCGCUAGAAAGAGUGGGCUCGCGUCUGAUUAGAUAGUUGGUGGGGUAACGGCCUACCAAGUCGACGAUCAGUAGCCGGACUGAGAGGUUGAACGGCCACAGUUGGGACUGAGAGUACCGGCCCAGACCUCCGUACGGGAGGCAGCAGGUGGGGAAUAUGCACAAUGGGGGAAACCCUGAUGCAGCAACGCCGCGUGAAGGAUGACGGUUUUCGGAUUGUAAACUUCUGUUCUCGUUGACGAAGACAGUGACGGUAAACGAGGAGCAAGCCACGGCUAACUACGUGCCAGCAGCCGCGGUAA